AGUGAACGCUGGCGGUAGGCCUAACACAUGCAAGUCGAACGGCAGCACAGUAAGAGCUUGCUCUUACGGGUGGCGAGUGGCGGACGGGUGAGGAAUACAUCGGAAUCUACUUUUUCGUGGGGGAUAACGUAGGGAAACUUACGCUAAUACCGCAUACGACCUACGGGUGAAAGCAGGGGAUCUUCGGACCUUGCGCGAUUGAAUGAGCCGAUGUCGGAUUAGCUAGUUGGUGGGGUAAAGGCCCACCAAGGCGACGAUCCGUAGCUGGUCUGAGAGGAUGAUCAGCCACACUGGAACUGAGACACGGUCCAGACUCCUACGGGAGGCAGCAGUGGGGAAUAUUGGACAAUGGGUGCAAGCCUGAUCCAGCCAUACCGCGUGGGUGAAGAAGGCCUUCGGGUUGUAAAGCCCUUUUGUUGGGAAAGAAAAGCAGCAGGUUAAUACCCCGCUGUUCUGACGGUACCCAAAGAAUAAGCACCGGCUAACUUCGUG
rnacentral:rRNA from 1 species